ACAAGACCAAAGAAAUAAAUGAUGAAAAUACAAAUAUAAUGACAUGGUUUGUGGCUGAGGUAACAGACAUCAUAUAUCCAGCAAUAAUACAAUACGAAGAGAGAAAAAUAGCUGAGAGAGAUGUGAGAGAUGAGGAGGCCAAUGCCAAAAAGUUUGUUUUCGCAGACAAAAAGAGACCACCCAGCAGAUCGCCGGGAUGUGAGAAGAGGGGGAGUAGAGGGAAACUAACCCCACUGUUUUCUCAACAGUCACCUGGCCUGUCUCCAGCAAGCAGCAGGCCACUGUCUCUGGGUGGAGAGUUUUGGGAAGAAAGACUUUCAGAGGCUGAACCAGCAGUGAUAGCUUCUCAUCACGCUGACAAUAUUUCUAGUUUGUGCAGGGAGAGCAUGUGCAUGGGAGCUCUGCUUGAGCAUCCCAUGCAGACUAUCAAAGCUGAGAAGUUUCCUCAUAGCCAAACUUACUUUAAAUAUGAAUCAGCAAGAAAAGAUGGCAAAUUACGAAACCAUCUUAUUAGGGAAGAUAUUUUUUCUGACUUGAAACAAUAUCACCCUAAAACAGGCAUGGUCAGAAAAUUCUUUUCACUGAUCAAUGUCCAGGGAAGAGACUCUGAGGAACAAGUACAAAGGGAAGGGCAAAUGCCAAGGCAGCUUCAAGUCCCUGAGCUUAUACAACCCACAUCAGGGGACAUCAGGAAACUGAAUUACUGCACAGGAGCUCUGGGGCUCAAACUAUCUACAUCCCCCCUGGACACACUAACCAAGCCAAGGACAGUCCACUUCAAAGUAACUCUACCCCAGAUUGGCAGGCAGCUUGCAAGAAAGCCCUUCUUUUCAUCACCCAGAAAGAUAUUUCCCGAAGAGGAAGUACCGCAUAAGGCAGCGCAGGGAGCUUGCAGCAAGCCCCUGCCAACAUACGCAAUUUAGCCUCAGCCCUUGCAGUCACCAACCAGUAUUUAUGAUGAUGGUUUUUUGAAAGAAAUUUGUGAUGAAUUAAUGAGCAAAUUGGUUCCUUCACAAAACCUACGUGCUCAGGACAGCGCAAUCCCUGGAAGUGAUCCUUCAUGUAUCAGCACAGAUGUAGUUGAUUCAGUGCUAAGUGAGCUUUCCAUAUGUCAAGCCACAGACCUGCAGCCUUCGGAAGAUCAGGGUCUCUCCCCUGACAUAGACACGUUGACGACCAAAAUUAUUCACUCCAGUUUAUCUGACCUUCUGCAAGAAAGUGCUUCCAAAGUCUCAGUUUAUGCAGACAUGAAAAGCAACAAGAGUGUGUCACCAGAGAGCGUAGGUGUUUUGAUAAGGAGAGAAAUUACUGAUUACCAACAGGAAGACCCCUUAGCAAAAGCAUCAUCUUCAGCUCUGCAUAUAUCUCUACAACCUGGGGAAAUUGAUGAGAAGCUUUUCGAAGAUGCCACCAAAAGCAACACCCAAUGCCAAAGUCCCACACCAUCUACUCUGGGGGUAUGCCACAGAUUUUUGGAAGAUAUAAUCAGCAAGCUUUUAUCUAACAUUCUCCCUGCCAUCACCAGCACAUCUUCCUCUACAGAAAAGAAAAUGGAACUUGCAGAAUUUGACUUAAUUCACAUGAAGGUAAUCAGUAAAGUUAUGGCAAAGAUCUCUGAAGAUGAGAACUCUUUUAGCCACCAUAUUUAACAUCCGCAUGCCACAGGGGAUGAUAUGAUUGAAACAAUUGCUGAUUCGGUCUAUAACAAGCUUUUGACACAGUUUCAGUCUAAAUUCAACAUACAGAAUUGUUUAAGAAGUGGGUGCAUAAUUAUUUCUGAAGCUCUUUGUGACUUGGUCUUUCAAGAGAUUUCUGGGAAUCCAUGGCAGAACUCUUUCUGGUGAAUUACCACUUCACCACUGUGCUGAAGUUGACAAUAUUAUUAAAAAUACACUAGGAGACGUUACUGAGCCUUCAGAUAAUCCAAGCAGUUUAUCAUAAGAUCUUAGCCAAAUAGUUCCUCUCAUCAUAGAAAAACUAGCAGCAAGUCUUUUGUCAACAUUUUCUUCCCUUUUUUACCAUUGCAGAUUUGGAGGCAGAAAAGACUUCGUUACUGAACGAUGCAACUAGAAAAAUACGACAUGCUUUGCAAGUACUCCUGUCAAAACAUCAGAUGAACGUGAAUGAACAUAUCAGUGAAAGAGAAGUUUUACACACUGAAGACAGCCAAGCUAUGGGAGACCUAUUCCAUUCAGCUUGUACAAGCACUGUAGACCAUGCUGAUUUUUACAGUUUUUGUUUUCAGAGACCUAACAAAUAGGAAAGAUAUUUUAGCUCAUAGGAUAGCCACUGCAAUAGCAAAAAAAGUUGCCAAACCUGAAUUUCAAGUCAGUUCAGAGGAGGAGACAUUGCCUACUUCAUCUUCAACAACAGAAGGUGUUAGGAUUGUUGAAAAACUCUCUACUGAUCUUGGCAUGAUAAAGAAGAUCCCAAAACCAACUUUAAACCCACGUAUUCCUGUGGUACCUGUGCCAUUUGUGGAAGAAAUAUUAAGUAGAUUCCUGUCAAAAGUCUUAAGUUCAACUUAUGGCAGAAGCCCAAAGUACAGAAGAUGUUUAUCAUGCCUGAUCAUUUAUGAGUCAUUUCCAUGAAAACAGAACUUCUUGAGGAACUACAAGAAGCAUUCAUUGCUCAAACUGGGGAUAGCCUAAGGGACCUAAGAACAUCGCUGGCUGAGAAGUGUCUUGAAGGUGAAAGUCUGCGAUCUGAGGCACAGAGAAAAGAAAAUGGUCAUUUCUCCCUGGGUAGCAUGGGGCAACCAGCUGUAAGACCAGGGGAGGCCUUCAGCAGGACCUCAUUUGGAGGGAGAGAAGAUGGAGGCAAAGUUGAAGCAGAGCAACAGUGGGAGGAAGAAGAGGGGCUGCAGCAGAUAGAGGAGACAGUUCAAGUUGAAUCCUUUCUGUAUUUGGGGAGCUGUUGGCUUCAUCCAUGGACAGUGAACAAUUAAGGUGCCUGAGCCUAACAAGGUUGAGAACCACUGCACUAGGGAAACAGUCCAUAAAGCCUGCCCUGAGCUGAAGAACCGGGCGCCACAUAUGCAAUCCUGACUUGCUGCUGGGCUGCAGAGAGGAUCUCGAUGCUUUCUCCCUUCAUAAGGCUUUGGAGCACCUCCGGCCAGGCUUUGCCCAAAAGUCCAAGUUCUAAAGAUCUGUGAGGCUGGGGGCCUGGUCAUGACCUCUCCAGUAUUUUCAAUGGCUUCCAGCUCUUUAGUUUGAAGCAGUGAAUGUUUCCAGCUGUCCAAAGGGGAGACUUUCUGGGUGCAUCUCUCCCAGCACCCAAGGGCAUCACUAGCAGCAUUGUGGGAGCAGUACUGUGCCUGACAUUCAGGCCACGGCAGAUCAUACCUUUGAUUUCUCAGCUUCUGUUUGUGAUAUAGCUAUGACAGAGGCCAAACCUGAGGACUGUCUGCUCCUGCUUACCAGAAGGGUAUUAAUUUGUGCGCCCACUUGCCCAGGGAGCAGCAGAAACAAAGAAGAACAAGAAACAAAGAUGAAAACUACUAUUAAAUACUAUUAAAAUAUCAAUGUUA